GGGGAGCCGGAGGGAAACCGAGUCUUAAUUGGGCGUUAAGUUGCAGGGUAUAGACCCGAAACCCGGUGAUCUAGCCAUGGGCAGGUUGAAGGUUGGGUAACACUAACUGGAGGACCGAACCGACUAAUGUUGAAAAAUUAGCGGAUGACCUGUGGCUGGGGGUGAAAGGCCAAUCAAACCGGGAGAUAGCUGGUUCUCCCCGAAAGCUAUUUAGGUAGCGCCUCGUGAAUUCAUCUCCGGGGGUAGAGCACUGUUUCGGCUAGGGGGCCAUCCCGGCUUACCAACCCGAUGCAAACUGCGAAUACCGGAGAAUGUUAUCACGGGAGACACACGGCGGGUGCUAACGUCCGUCGUGAAGAGGGAAACAACCCAGACCGCCAGCUAAGGUCCCAAAGUCAUGGUUAAGUGGGAAACGAUGUGGGAAGGCCCAGACAGCCAGGAUGUUGGCUUAGAAGCAGCCAUCAUUUAAAGAAAGCGUAAUAGCUCACUGGUCGAGUCGGCCUGCGCGGAAGAUGUAACGGGGCUAAACCAUGCACCGAAGCUGCGGCAGCGACGCUUAUGCGUUGUUGGGUAGGGGAGCGUUCUGUAAGCCUGUGAAGGUGUGUCGUGAGGCAUGCUGGAGGUAUCAGAAGUGCGAAUGCUGACAUAAGUAACGAUAAAGCGGGUGAAAAGCCCGCUCGCCGGAAGACCAAGGGUUCCUGUCCAACGUUAAUCGGGGCAGGGUGAGUCGACCCCUAAGGCGAGGCCGA
rnacentral:rRNA from 1 species